CGGGUGAGUAACGCGUGGGCAACCUGCCUUACACAGGGGGAUAACACUUAGAAAUAGGUGCUAAUACCGCAUAAGCGCACAGCUUUGCAUGAAGCAGUGUGAAAAACUCCGGUGGUGUAAGAUGGACCCGCGUCUGAUUAGCUGGUUGGCAGGGUAAAGGCCUACCAAGGCGACGAUCAGUAGCCGGCCUGAGAGGGUGAACGGCCACACUGGGACUGAGACACGGCCCAGACUCCUACGGGAGGCAGCAG
rnacentral:rRNA from 1 species